UACGUAGGGACCAAGCGUUGUCCGGAAUCAUUGGGCGUAAAGAGCGUGUAGGCGGCUUGUUAAGUCUUGCGUGAAAUCUCGGGGCUCAACCCCGAGCGGUCGUGAGAAACUGGCAGGCUAGAGUGCGGGAGAGGAGAGUGGAAUUCCUGGUGUAGCGGUGAAAUGCGCAGAUAUCAGGAGGAACACCAAUUGCGAAGGCAGCUCGCUGGGACGUUACUGACGCUGAGACGCGAAAGCGUGGGGAGCAAACAGG
rnacentral:rRNA from 1 species